GUGCUUACUGCAACAGCACAUAUACUAANNNNGGAAUGAUACAGAGAAGAUUAGCAUGGCCCCUGUGCAACAAAGACAUGAAAAUUCAUAAAAUAGCCCAUAUUAAA
ensembl:snRNA U6 U6 spliceosomal RNA